AUGAAGUUCGGAGAAAGGACCAUUGUCAGCUUCUGUGUUGGUAGGGCGAUUCUUAGGCGCACCAAGAUACUGGUCCUGAACGAAGCCACUGCUUCGGUGGACAGUGCAACCGAUAACCUGAUCCAGAACACACUACAACAUCAUUUCUCAGGGUCAAUUGUCAUCACGACCGUGCAUCGAAUCACCUCGGUCCUUAACGAUAUAGGCUGGCUGUGGAGUCUGGAGCAACCAAGGCCAGCCAAGUUGUUGGAAGACAAAUUUUCUCCGUUCUCAAAGCUUGUGGUGGAAUCCAUGAUGAGGUUGAUACACACUUGA
rnacentral:rRNA from 1 species